UCGGUGACGUAGUACGCAGAAACCAUCUAGUUGUGUGUGCCUCGUCACUCCUCAUGAGCGUAUUCCAAGAUGGCGCUACAGAGGACGGCGGCGCGGUUGAUGCGCAUCGGGACAGAUUUAGGGUCCAGGAAUAGCGCAAAACAUUUUCAAACAGCAUCCGUAUUGUGUCGCCGGACUGCGCCACUCGGUGAAAUGCCAAAUGAAGACAUAGACUUAAAAAACCUGGACUCGGUGGAUAAAUACGGCAGUUACACCCGCUACCUGAGAUUUGCAGAGGAAACCAAUAAUAAAGAGGUCUGGUGGAAGACCUACAGGAAAUAUGUGGAGCAGAAAGCUGACCAAGACUUUGAGCCGGUGGACAUUGGCUUGCCUUACUGCCGGCCCUCCAGGGUAAAGGAAGUUCGGGAAAGAAGAAAGAUCAUAAAGGAAAACAAAAAGAACCCAGAGCUGGAGAGAGACGCUCGUCUACUCACGUUUCGCAUUGCUCUGGACCAAGUGAAGCAGGAAUGGGAGAAAACGAAUGGUCCUUACCACAUACAGAGGCUGGCAGAGCACUAUGGAAUAUACAGAGACCUUUUUCCAAUGGCUUAUUUUGUUCCAAGGGUAAUGCUGAGGGUGUCAUAUGCUGACGACAGCAGUGCCACGGUGCAUUACGGCAAUCAUUUAUCACCUAGUCAGGCUUCAUCAGCACCUCGUGUUAGCUUUGAGGCAGAUGAGAAUUCUCUUUGGACGUUGCUGCUAACAAGCCCAGAUGAACAUUUGCAGGAUGGUGAGCAGGAAUAUGUACAUUGGCUUAUCGGUAAUAUUCCUGCCAGUGCCAUGUGUUCUGGUAAUGAGAUUGUUCCCUACGUAGCCCCAUUUCCUGCCAAGGGAACAGGAUUUCACAGAUACGUUUUCAUCCUCUUCAAGCAGGAUGCAGUUGUUGACUUUAGCAGUGAGAUGAGAUUGAACCCCUGGUAAGUGAUGGCGGAUUUGAAUGCAUUCCGAGAGAGUUUACAGAUGGAUGGAGAGAGUGACAGUAGUAAACAUUUUUAUGUAAAUGUUUAUGUAUUGAAUAUGUUCCCUGAUGGUCUAGUGGUUAGGAUGCGGCGCUCUCACCUUCAGCUUUAUAAACUUAUUGCGUCUCAUGAUUAUACUUAAUAUCUCCGAAUCAUAGCUUCUGCAACCUUCACAGAAACUCUUGACCUGUUAUUCAGUGAAGAAGCAGAGAUAUCACUGUGAUAUGUUGUACCUAAUUACAGAACCAAUGUCAUCUCGUAACACACCAACAUCUUUUAGCGCACACACCGCAGGUAUGUCAGAUUAGGGUUUAUACUGCUGGAUGUGGGAUCAAAAAUGAGAUCAUUUUAUAUAAUCUUUUUAAUCAUUUGUGUAGGAAAAAGCUUUAGAAAAGUGCGAAUGUUUUUUAAAUAAUUGUGGGUAUUUUGGGCAUGUACAGGAACUGUGUAUAGGUUCUUAAGUCAAUUAAAUAAGCUUCAGUAACAGUAUUUAGUUACACCAUUUUUUUUUUUUGGUUUUCUUGAUCUGAACAGUGAUCAAAAUCACUUUUUCUCAACACUGCCUGUCGUAGGCGACUUUCAUGACCUAAUGAUUGUGGGAAUAAUCCGAAUUCGGGGGGUAUAAUGUCUAUACGACAGAAGGUGAUCCUGUCUAGGGGGCAGAUGAUGAGAUAAUUCCUUACAAUGAUCUAAGAGUUUAUACAACCACAGCCUCACAAUCCAAACACACAUGUCUUCGUUUGCGUGCUCCAGGAAAAUGCUCCUUUCCUGUUUUCCACUUUCCCAGUCCUUUUGUUAUAUCGUACCAUAACUGAAAGUGCCCACAUCAAUUAUAUAUAAUAAAAAAAAAUAGCAAGGGGCCACCAUGCAGUUAUGCCGCAGUAGCUACUCUGUUCAUGUUAUUAACCUCUGCUUUCUCUGCGUAGUCCUUUACCACAUCCCCUUCUCUCAAUGGCAGGAUAUUACAGUGACUACCGUAGUGUAGGCGAAGAAAAAAACAUACAGGACAUCCUUUAACGUCUUACAAUUAUGAACAGGAUGGAGAAAGAGUACAAUUUUUAUUUUUUUAUAGGUCAUUCCCCUGGGGAUUUACAAGUGUCCACUAUGUUUCAGACACAGCUGAAAUAUGCAUGCCCUUAUAUUGAUACCACAUUAGGCCGGAUUGCUUGGCAUGUAUAAUUUAAUGGGACAGCACACAAAAUAAAAUUUUGGCAUUCAUUUACAGUAAAUUGUAAAAACACACUUGUCCCUGGGCAUCAUUGAUUUUUUCGUUUUUUUUAUCCACACUCAUAUUGUUUCUUUGCCAUCAGAUUGUAUGCCCCCAAUGACCUAAAUGACCUUAGAGACUGAGUGGCAGGAAAAUACAGCCCUUUCAUUGUCAGCUUUACAAAGGCUUGCUGUUGCUUGUUGUACACUUGCGCCAAAAUGAGUAAUGCAAUUUGCAAUGUGACCAGUUCACUUGACGUGGGGGAGUGGAAAACCCUACCGGAUACACUGACCAGACUGUGACCGAAAUAAUUUUUAUGUUCUAGUGGGUCACAUCCAAGUUUUUCCAACAUGCCUUUCAUGUCCUUCACACUUUGUCAACUCAUGCAUGUCCAUUUCAGCCGAUGGUGUUUGAAGUCAUGUGCUUGAUUAAUUUUUUUAAUUCUUGGACGUGGCUGAAGGUGUAUUUGGUGGGGUUUUCCCCUGCCUUAUGUCUUGCGAACUCUGGCGCAAAUUCUUAAUGAUUUACAGCUUGAAAAGCCUGGGGACAAAUUGCCUCCAUCCAAAGAACAUUGAUACAAAACCGAUAACAGGAUUGAAAACGUCAUCACGGUAAUUUAUACUCAGUUCUCCCUAUUGAAUUCACUAAAUACGAAAAAAAAAAAAAGUCACAUAUAUUUAGAGACAGUAAACAGUAAAUGGGGCCCAAAUUGCCCCGAAGGAUAACAGGGUUAAUAAUAAAUGCACAGUGUAUAAUAUUAUAUAAUAUAAUAGAAACUCAGCCAUUAGGGCUGCACAAGCCAGUGCUCUCUUAGCCCGGAUAAAUAGGGAGGGUUGUGUUAGGAAGGGCAUCCAGCGUAAAACAUGCCAAAUCAAAUAUGCGGGUUACGAAGCAGAAAUUACAGGGGGGUAUGGAAACAGAUGAUCCGCUGUGGUGACCACUAAUGAGACAGCCGAAAGAAGAAGAUAAUUAUAUAAUAGAAAGUUUGAACGAUCUUUUUGAAAAGUAGACUGUGGACUUUUCGAGGCCUGUUUGCAAAAUGUUUUAUUGUUAUUGUCUUACAAUGGAAACUUUACAGUAACAGUAUAACACAUCACAAAAUUGCUGAGACAAUAGCGCCACUCGAACACUCGAGUUGUAGUCUGGUCAACUAUCUUUGAUGUACUUAAUAUACAUGGCCCUUCAUUUGCAUAUAUGAUAAAUUGUCCGGUCUUUGCAGUUUUUAACCGGAUUUCAAUUCAUUUCCCAAACAUUGCAUGUACAAGGCCGAUUAAAUUUGCUGGACUCAGAAUGUUCGCUUUGUGUAUGCAGUGAUGUAAAUGAGAAAAUGAUUGGCGAUGACCUAACAGCAUUAUGUGCAGAAAACUAUAUAUUAUGAUUACUAUAUGCUAUAGAAAAACUAAUAUUGCACUACAUUAUUUUACAUUACAAAUAGCACUUCUCUGCCAGACAGUGGAAUCACACACAUCAUGCGUUAGUUAGAUGAAUUUGAAGGGAGCUCAGUGGUUAAAGCUCUGGGUUACUGAGUGGAAGGUCAGGGGGUUUAAGGUCAGGGGGUCAUCGCCAAGCUGCCACCUUUGGGCCCUUGAGCAAGGCCGUUAACCCUCUGUGCUCCAGUGGUGCUGUAUCAUGGCUGACCCUGCGCUCUGACUCCAGCUUUCUAACAUUGCUGGGAUGUGCAAAGAAAGAAUUUCACCAUGCUGUAAUGUACAUGUAACAAAUAAAAAGCUACCUUUACUUUAGUUCUCCACCUUGCCAAAUUACCCUGUUAGCUUUGCAAGACUCUGAUAGAAAUGCCACGGAUACACUCUAUCGACAAAAGUAUUUGGACGCCUGAAUUUUUUAGUCAUUUAUGGUUCUUUCUAAAGCUGUUAUCACAACCUUGGUGGCACAUGAUUAUAUAGGAUGUUUUCGGAUGCGGUAGCAUAUUUUUCCUUCACUUGUGGUUGGAACGCUGACUGUACAGCAGGCAAGAUUCUCCACAACCACACUCCUAAAUGUAGUGGGGAUUAUUAUAACAGCAAAUUAGGUCUAAAUGUGGAAUGGACUGUUCAAAAUGGGCAUAUGAAUUAUAUGGUCAGGUGUCCAAACUUUUGUUAAUAGAAUGUACGCUGAUUAUGAGGUGCACAAUCACCGUUAUGAUUUAAUAUCUCUGACUGGAAAUGCUUUCAGUAGUGUAGAAGCCUAUUGCCUAUUCAGAUUUUUUUUACUUUUUAAAAUUUUGCAAUAUUAAUGUUCAAUAUCUUAUAUAUGUUUAUAUCUUAUAUUUCUCCCCAUCCGCUGCUAAGUAAAAUAAAUAUUAAAUUGACUUAUGAUUCCCUUAUUUGUAAGCCAAAAGCACACUGGAACCGAACCCCCUAGCUAGUCUCCUGUAGUAUAGCAUAAAACAUAGAUUUAUUUUGUAUGGAAUAAAACCACACCUUUUGUUCAUUUAUGUGCGUUUCUUCUUCACAGUGUAUGGUAUUCUGAGCGUUAUUAGCAAAAUAACAGGACUGUUGUAUUAAUCUCAUAUUAUACAAACAUCCUUUAGCACACACAUUAGGUAGAAGAAUAGCGUUUAUUUGUCACAUGUACAUUACAGCACAGUGAAAUUCCCUGGAGCAAAGAGUGUUAAGGGCCUUGUUUAGGGGCCCAAGAGCGGCAGCUUGGCGAUACCGGGGCUUGAACCCUCUACCAUCUGAUUAGUAUCCUUAAGUAGUAGUAGCCUUAACCACUAAGCUACCACUCUCCCCAUACACCGACCGAUACAGGCAUAACUUUAUGGUGAAAAAUUUGCUUGAGGUUGUGGUUUCUCAGGAAAAAGAAGAAUAUGUAUAUUUUUCAGUGGCAGGCCGUGCAUCCCACUCCACCAAAAUAAGAAUCAGUCCAUUUCUUAAUACAUUCAUUAUGAUGCCACAGCUAUAUAAACCAUCAAUAGUAUGCAGAAAUAGAGUAUAACAGAACGCUGCAUUACAGACAGGUAUCUCUGACCAUCCAAUCAAAUUACAAGAAAAUGCAGAUGUUAUUUUACACCUGAUGGCCCUGGUGCCGGCAACUCGAAAUCCGAUUGGUUAACACAGCAGCUUCAAGAAAUGUCAUUUACUCAACAGGCACCUGCAUAGUUAAUUCUGAAGGCUUCAAGGCAGAGUUAUUUGACUCUGGCAGUAGGUGAUUGCUGAUAUCUGAUUGGAUAAAAUAACUCCAACGUAAACAGACUAGAAGCGGUGCAACCGAGAAAAAAAACCUAAAUUGACGAUAAACUAUUGGGAAUAAUUAAAAACAUAUUCAUUGACAAAAAUAUAUUAACAUAAGCCAGUGAUUCUUCUCAUAUUUAGGCACCCAGAGAAGGAAGGCCUUAAUGGCCCUGACGGACUGCCACUGAUAUUUUCUUAUGGAACAGAAUGACUGAGUAUGACACUUCAUUUUCAAGUGCUGGCUGUCAUCUGGCCAUUAGGUGUCAUCUUUCCUGUGUGCAAGAAACCCAAAGCAUCUGGAAGCUUUUACAGUAAAUCUUUCGACUGUAAUUAAUUCUCAACCUUAAACAUGCAUCAUUUAAUAAAAUAAUAAACAAA